GACGAACGCUGGCGGCGUGCUUAACACAUGCAAGUCGAACGGAAAGGCCUGCUUUCCCUUGUGGAUUGCGGGUACUCGAGUGGCGAACGGGUGAGUAACACGUGAGUGAUCUGCCCCCAACUUGGGUAUAAGCCUGGGAAACUGGGUCUAAUUCCCGAUAGGACUGCAGGGUGGUGCCUGUGGUGGAAAACGAUUUUCUAGUGGUUGGGGAUGAGCUCGCGGCCUAUCAGCUUGUUGGUGGGGUAAUGGCCUACCAAGGCGGCGACGGGUAGCCGGCCUGAGAGGGUGGACGGCAACAUUGGGACUGAGAUACGGCCCAGACUCCUACGGGAGGCAGCAGUGGGGAAUAGUGCACAAUGGGCGGAAGCCUGAUGCAGCGACGCAGCGUGGGGGAUGACGGCCUUCGGGUGGUAAACUCCUUUCGACCGCGAGGAAGCCACCUGGUUGGAAGGGUGGUGACGGUAGUGGUAGAAGAAGCACCGGCUAACUACGUG
rnacentral:rRNA from 1 species